GACACAGCACCUCAUUUUUCUCUUGGGCAGCGGUAUGAACCUUGAUUUCUCCAACUUCAAAUAACCCUUGCUUUUCCCCUCUCUCUCCAUCCCUCCCCCAUCCUAGUUCUCCCACUAGUUUCACUGUC